ensembl:lincRNA
GAGAACUUGGAAGCCAAAAGAGGCCGUUCAGUCACUUCAGAAAAGAUCUAGCAGAAUUUAGGAAUCAGAUAACAGAACACAAGUGUACCUGUCUACCCUUGUUGUGCCAUAUGAAGCAGCUAAUAGUAGCAAGUUAGAUCUGUAUUGAAAAAUCUGCAACAAUAAAGAUCAAGAAUGACUCUCACAAUUCUUCAGAGACUAACACACAGCCCUGCUCUGAAAAUGGAGCCUCUGCCUCACAGUCAGCCUUUCCUGUCUGGGAAAAAUCACUCUGCCGAUGAUUAGGUGCCCUGUGUCUGUGAGACUCUGAAAUCCAAGACACCUGUGAGGGAAGGAGAUUGAAGAAGGAAACAGGCCAGGAGGGUGAUGGGCCUCCUGAUAGGAAGUUCAGUCGUGCAGAAAGGCUUGGGAUCCAGUGACUCAUCC